AUGAAUUUGAACAACCAAAAUACUCCUGCAUUUUGCAACAGUGUGCCCGUGCGUAACGGGAGAAACAAAAUAAUUUUGCAAUGGGAGAAAAGGGCAUUUCACAAUUUCAUAUAUUCUUUGUUUAGUUACCCCUCUUCUGUUUACCACCCAAUGCCAGGGCAGGAGGCAGGAGAGGCUUGCCGCAAGCCCACACCUGACACGACCAAACCUAUUCCCAGCAACGCCGAUCCACCACAGCCUCUUUCCCGUCAACGCCGAGAUGCCGCCUUGUGGUGCACCCAUGGAUUGGUGUCUGUGCUUGUUACUUUGAUUAGUUAA
rnacentral:rRNA from 1 species